GCCACUUAUAGCCGAUGGAUUCUGGCGGUGUUUUAGAAGAAAAGUUGUAACAACACAAAACACCACCGCGGAAAUGAUUUCUCAAUGGAAGACAUAAUGUCAAGUGCUUCCUGUCCAUCGGUGUCCACUACACCCUGCAGGAAGUGUCAGAAGCCACCCACCUACCCACAGGAAUUGCAGUUCCUCUGCUUUCUUUUUUAUUUUUGAUUCUUCAGUGAACUUUAAUCUGUGGAACAUAUCCAUGUCUUCCUGUCAUUAGGGGAUAUGACGAAAGUCCAAGCCUUGGGAGAGAUAAUUGUGAAGAGCCGAGGAUUCACAGGCAUCCACAGAAAGACGUUGCACUACGUUUAGGUUAGAUAUGGAGAUGGCUACUGAUGGUAAGGAGGUAAGGUACUCUCUCCACGGUUAACCUCUUUAUUGGGCAGAGACCUUCAAGU